GCUUCUGUAAUGUAGUGGUUAUCACAUUCGCCUCACACAUGAAAGGUCACCAGUUUGAGACCGGGCCAAAACA
rnacentral:tRNA from 1 species